rnacentral:lncRNA from 1 species
GGUGCGGCUGUGAAUCUUUGGGGUGAGGGUUAGAUUGAGAUUAGAUGUCGUUAGGAUUUAGAGUUGUUAUAAACUUGAUAAAAAUAAUUUUAUUUUUUUAAUAAAUUUAUAAAAAUAUAAAAUAGAUUAUACAGGUCGUAUUCAGAUUCGUGGGUCAACCCACGAAUGACACGAAAUUGUAUGGAUCAUAAUCAGAUCGACCUGUUUUCUACCCGAUCC